rnacentral:rRNA from 1 species
CAGUCGCCGCGGGAAUACGAAGGGGGCUAGCGUUGUUCGGAAUUACUGGGCGUAAAGCGCACGUAGGCGGACAUUUAAGUCAGGGGUGAAAUCCCGGGGCUCAACCCCGGAACUGCCUUUGAUACUGGGUGUCUAGAGUAUGGAAGAGGUGAGUGGAAUUCCGAGUGUAGAGGUGAAAUUCGUAGAUAUUCGGAGGAACACCAGUGGCGAAGGCGGCUCACUGGUCCAUUACUGACGCUGAGGUGCGAAAGCGUGGGGAGCAAACAGGAUUAGAUACCCCAGUAGUCCCUGUCUCUUAUAU